UACAGAGGUGGCAAGCGUUGUUCGGAAUUACUGGGCGUAAAGGGCGCGUAGGCGGUCCCAUAAGUCCCGCGUGAAAUCCCCCGGCUCAACCGGGGAACUGCGCGGGAAACUGCGGGGCUUGAGUUCGGGAGAGGGAAGCGGAAUUCCGGGUGUAGCGGUGAAAUGCGUAGAUAUCCGGAGGAACACCUGUGGUGUAGACGGCUUUCUGGACCAUAGCUGACGCUGAGACACGAAAGCGUGGGUAGCAAACAGG
rnacentral:rRNA from 1 species